GGGACGGAGGGAGUACAAUGAGGCAUUUAUAUAAAAGGUUUAGUAUUUACUUACCACUUGAACAUGACGAUAUUUCUAGAUGAUCAAGUGGGUCUUAAACUCUCUCGCAAAAGUUUAACCAUCUUAAAACCUUCAAAUACAUAAAAGAAGAGGUAUAAUAGGACUAUGUUCCACCUAUUAACCAAAUUUUCAGUUUUCAUUUAUUUGGGCAAGUGUCAUGAUAUUUCAUCCAAAAAUGUUAUCCCAAACAAAAACAAAAGCAAAAUGUAUAAACUAUAUAACUGUCGAACUAGUCAAUAUGGCUUGGCCCAUGGUGGUGCACA
rnacentral:lncRNA from 1 species